rnacentral:rRNA from 1 species
GACGAACGCUGGCGGCGUGCUUAACACAUGCAAGUCGAACGGAAAGGCCCUGCUUUUGUGGGGUGCUCGAGUGGCGAACGGGUGAGUAACACGUGAGUAACCUGCCCUUGACUUUGGGAUAACUUCAGGAAACUGGGGCUAAUACCGGAUAGGAGCUCCUGCUGCAUGGUGGGGGUUGGAAAGUUUCGGCGGUUGGGGAUGGACUCGCGGCUUAUCAGCUUGUUGGUGGGGUAGUGGCUUACCAAGGCUUUGACGGGUAGCCGGCCUGAGAGGGUGACCGGUCACAUUGGGACUGAGAUACGGCCCAGACUCCUACGGGAGGCAGCAGUGGGGAAUAUUGCACAAUGGGCGGAAGCCUGAUGCAGCAACGCCGCGUGCGGGAUGACGGCCUUCGGGUUGUAAACCGCUUUCGCCUGUGACGAAGCGUGAGUGACGGUAAUAGGUAAAGAAGCACCGGCUAACUACGUG